rnacentral:rRNA from 1 species
GGUUAAGCGAACAAGCGUACACGGUGGAUGCCCUGGCAGUCAGAGGCGAUGAAGGACGUGCUAAUCUGCGAAAAGCGCCGGUAAGGUGAUAUGAACCGUUAUAACCGGCGAUGUCCGAAUGGGGAAACCCGGUGCACUUCGGUGCAUCAUCGUUAGCUGAAUACAUAGGCUAACGAGGCGAACCGGGGGAACUGAAACAUCUAAGUACCCCGAGGAAAAGAAAUCAACCGAGAUUCCCCCAGUAGCGGCGAGCGAACGGGGAACAGCCCAGAGCCUGAAUCAGCUUGUGUGUCAGUGGAACGGUCUGGAAAGGCCGGCGAUACAGGGUGACAGCCCCGUACACGAAGGCACACAGGCUGUGAGCUCGAUGAGUAGGGCGGGACACGUGAUAUCCUGUCUGAAGAUGGGGGGACCAUCCUCCAAGGCUAAAUACUCCUGACUGACCGAUAGUGAACCAGUACCGUGAGGGAAAGGCGAAAAGAACCCCGGCGAGGGGAGUGAAACAGAACCUGAAACCGUGUACGUACAAGCAGUGGGAGCCUUCGUAAGAGGGUGACUGCGUACCUUUUGUAUAAUGGGUCAGCGACUUAUAUUCUGUAGCAAGGUUAACCGUAUAGGGGAGCCGAAGGGAAACCGAGUCUUAACCGGGCGUUAAGUUGCAGGGUAUAGACCCGAAACCCGGUGAUCUAGCCAUGGGCAGGUUGAAGGUUGGGUAACACUAACUGGAGGACCGAACCGACUAAUGUUGAAAUUAGCGGAUGACCUGUGGCUGGGGGUGAAAGGCCAAUCAAACCGGGAGAUAGCUGGUUCUCCCCGAAAGCUAUUUAGGUAGCGCCUCGUGAACUCAUCUCCGGGGGUAGAGCACUGUUUCGGCUAGGGGGCCAUCCCGGCUUACCAACCCGAUGCAAACUGCGAAUACCGGAGAAUGUUAUCACGGGAGACACACGGCGGGUGCUAACGUCCGUCGUGAAGAGGGAAACAACCCAGACCGCCAGCUAAGGUCCCAAAGUCAUGGUUAAGUGGGAAACGAUGUGGGAAGGCCCAGACAGCCAGGAUGUUGGCUUAGAAGCAGCCAUCAUUUAAAGAAAGCGUAAUAGCUCACUGGUCGAGUCGGCCUGCGCGGAAGAUGUAACGGGGCUAAACCAUGCACCGAAGCUGCGGCAGCGACGCUUAUGCGUUGUUGGGUAGGGGAGCGUUCUGUAAGCCUGUGAAGGUGUGCUGUGAGGCAUGCUGGAGGUAUCAGAAGUGCGAAUGCUGACAUAAGUAACGAUAAAGCGGGUGAAAAGCCCGCUCGCCGGAAGACCAAGGGUUCCUGUCCAACGUUAAUCGGGGCAGGGUGAGUCGACCCCUAAGGCGAGGCCGAAAGGCGUAGUCGAUGGGAAACAGGUUAAUAUUCCUGUACUUGGUGUUACUGCGAAGGGGGGACGGAGAAGGCUAUGUCGGCCGGGCGACGGUUGUCCCGGUUUAAGCGUGUAGGCUGACUUUCCAGGCAAAUCCGGAAGGUUAAGGCUGAGGCGUGAUGACGAGGCACUACGGUGCUGAAGUGACAAAUGCCCUGCUUCCAGGAAAAGCCUCUAAGCAUCAGGUAACAUCAAAUCGUACCCCAAACCGACACAGGUGGUCAGGUAGAGAAUACCAAGGCGCUUGAGAGAACUCGGGUGAAGGAACUAGGCAAAAUGGUGCCGUAACUUCGGGAGAAGGCACGCUGACAUGUAGGUGAAGCCCCUGCGGGUGGAGCUGAAGUCAGUCGAAGAUACCAGCUGGCUGCAACUGUUUAUUAAAAACACAGCACUGUGCAAACACGAAAGUGGACGUAUACGGUGUGACGCCUGCCCGGUGCCGGAAGGUUAAUUGAUGGGGUUAUCGCAAGAGAAGCUCCUGAUCGAAGCCCCGGUAAACGGCGGCCGUAACUAUAACGGUCCUAAGGUAGCGAAAUUCCUUGUCGGGUAAGUUCCGACCUGCACGAAUGGCGUAAUGAUGGCCAGGCUGUCUCCACCCGAGACUCAGUGAAAUUGAACUCGCUGUGAAGAUGCAGUGUACCCGCGGCAAGACGGAAAGACCCCGUGAACCUUUACUACAGCUUGACACUGAACAUUGAGCCUUGAUGUGUAGGAUAGGUGGGAGGCUUUGAAGCGUGGACGCCAGUCUGCGUGGAGCCAACCUUGAAAUACCACCCUUUAAUGUUUGAUGUUCUAACCUGGCGCCCUGAUCGGGCGUGGGGACAGUGUCUGGUGGGUAGUUUGACUGGGGCGGUCUCCUCCCAAAGUGUAACGGAGGAGCACGAAGGUCAGCUAAUCCUGGUCGGACAUCAGGAGGUUAGUGCAAUGGCAUAAGCUGGCUUGACUGCGAGAGUGACGGCUCGAGCAGGUGCGAAAGCAGGUCAUAGUGAUCCGGUGGUUCUGUAUGGAAGGGCCAUCGCUCAACGGAUAAAAGGUACUCCGGGGAUAACAGGCUGAUACCGCCCAAGAGUUCAUAUCGACGGCGGUGUUUGGCACCUCGAUGUCGGCUCAUCACAUCCUGGGGCUGAAGUAGGUCCCAAGGGUAUGGCUGUUCGCCAUUUAAAGUGGUACGCGAGCUGGGUUUAGAACGUCGUGAGACAGUUCGGUCCCUAUCUGCCGUGGGCGCUGGAGAAUUGAGGGGGGCUGCUCCCAGUACGAGAGGACCGGAGUGGACGCAUCACUGGUGUUCGGGUUGUCAUGCCAAUGGCACUGCCCGGUAGCUAAAUGCGGAAGAGAUAAGUGCUGAAAGCAUCUAAGCACGAAACUUGCCCCGAGAUGAGUUCUCCCUGAGACUAUAAGUCUCCUGAAGGAACGUUGAAGACGACGACGUUGAUAGGCCGGGUGUGUAAGCGCAGCGAUGCGUUGAGCUAACCGGUACUAAUGAACCGUGAGGCUUAACCUU